rnacentral:lncRNA from 1 species
UUCAAAUUUAUAAAACCCUUUUACCGUAUUACAUAAAAUUCGAAAUUCAUCAUAAUGUUUGAUCCUGAUACUUAUUACAUACAAUAUUUAAUUUAUCAAUUCUCGCUCUGAUACCAAUUGAUGGAAUCUCAAGGUAUGUAAAAUAAAUAAAAAUAAAUACAUACCAAAUCCAGGAUCAAAAAUAAAAAUACGAUAACUCACAGAGCGCCAUAGAGAAGAGAUUAUUGAGUAAUCUUGCGGAAGCUGGAAGUCCGGCUACGAUCUGAAAGUCUCGAACCGAACUUGGGUGAUUUGGUUUCUCCCCCUAUCUCAGGCACUCUGCCGUAUGGUGUGGAACCGAUGGUAAUUCUUCACCAGAAUGCGUCUGAGAAGGUGGCAGGACUAAUAUCCCUUUAUAUAGAGUCCAGAUCGACUUCCCAUCAAAGUCUGAUUAGGAUUCUAUUUAAACUUCAAAUAGAUGGGAUAGGGAUAAAACAUACCAUAUCAAGUAGUUCUAUAUCUGUUAGGAUUGACCUUUAUCUAUAGCAAAUCCUAAAUUAAAUAUGAUUAAUUGGGCCACAAAAUAUGGAAAAUCCUAACAAGUAAUGCUAAUUUACAUAUGGCAUUAGAAACUGUUCCACUAUCAUGGCACGAUCAUUAUAAUCACAAAGCAUGUCAUUGUUCUAUACUUUAUAAUCAAUAAAGUCAUAAGAAU